rnacentral:rRNA from 1 species
UGGGGAAUAUUGGACAAUGGGCGAAAGCCUGAUCCAGCCAUGCCGCGUGUGUGAAGAAGGUCUUCGGAUUGUAAAGCACUUUAAGUUGGGAGGAAGGGUUGUAGAUUAAUACUCUGCAAUUUUGACGUUACCGACAGAAUAAGCACCGGCUAACUCUGUGCCAGCAGCCGCGGUAAUACAGAGGGUGCAAGCGUUAAUCGGAAUUACUGGGCGUAAAGCGCGCGUAGGUGGUUUGUUAAGUUGGAUGUGAAAUCCCCGGGCUCAAACUGGGAACUGCAAUCAAAACUGACUGACUAGAGUAUGGUAGAGGGUGGGGGAAUUUCCUGUGUAGGGGUGAAAUGCGUAGAUAUAGGAAGGAACACCAGUGGCGAAGGCGACCACCUGGACUAAUACUGACACUGAGGUGCGAAAGCGUGGGGAGCAAACAGG